rnacentral:rRNA from 1 species
AUUGAACGCUGGCGGCAGGCCUAACACAUGCAAGUCGAGCGAGCGGCGGCCGGGUGAGUAAUGCCUGGGAAUUGCCCAGUCGAGGGGGAUAACAGUUGGAAACGACUGCUAAUACCGCAUACGAUGGGAUUGCCCAGGUGGGAUUCUCUAGUUGGUGAGGGAAUGGAUCACCAAGGCGACGAUCCCUAGCUGGGCUGAGAGGAUGAUAAGCCACACUGGAACUGAGACACGGGCCAGACUCAGACGGGAGGCAGCAGUGGGGAAGAGUGCACAAUGGGGGAAACCCUGAUGCCGCCAUGCCGCGUGUGUGAAGAAGGCCUUCGGGUGGUAAAGCACUGUCAGCGAGGAGGCGUUACGCGCAGAAGAAGCACCGGCUAACUCCGUGCCAGCAGCCGCGGUAAUAC